rnacentral:rRNA from 1 species
CGAGUUUGAUCCUGGCUCCGGAUGAACGCUGGCAAUAUACUUGACACAUGCUAGUCGAAUGUUUAAUAGACAUGGCGCACGGGUGAGUAAUACAUAAGACUUUGCUUUAAAGACUGAGAUAAUUAAUUUUAAGUUAAUACUUAAAUAUUUUUUAAAUAUUUAUUUAGCGAUUUAAAAUUGAAAAUAUUGGAUAUCUAAAGGUUAAAUACCGCUUUAAAAUGGUUUUAUGAAAGAUUAGGUAGUUGGUUGGGUAAUGGCUAACCAAGCCCAAGAUCUUUAGUUGGUCUGAGAGGAUGAUCAGCCACACUGGAACUGAGAUAAGGUCCAGGCUUCUAUAAGCCAGCAGUGUGGAAUCUUGGACAAUGGGCGAAAGCCUGAUCCAGUAAUAUUGCGUGAAUGAGGAAAGCAAAAAAGAUUUGUACUUCGAAUUUAUUUGAUUGCAAAUUGGCUGUAAAGUUAUUUCGCUAAUGAAGAUAAUGACAUUAAUUAGAGAAGAAGCUCCGGCUAAUUUCGUGCCAGCAGCCGCGGUAAUACGAAAGGAGUAAGCGUUAUCCGAAAUGAUUGGGCGUAAAGGGUUUGUAGGCGGUAUCUAUUGAUAAAUGUAAAAUAUUAGGAUAAUCUCUUAAUUCUGCAUUUAUGACUUUGAUACUUGAGUAUAAUUGGGGAUAGUAGAAUUUUAUAGGGAAGAGUAAAAUCUAUAGAUCUAUAAAGGAAUGUCGGCGGCGAAGGCGACUAUCUGGGUUAGAACUGACGUUGAGGAACGAAAGCUUGGGUAGCAAACAGGGUUAGAUAUUCUGGUAGUCCAUGCUGUCAAAGAUGAAUGUUAAUAUUGGGUCAUUCUGGUAUACAGCUAACGCGUUAAACAUUCCGCCUGGGGAGUACGGUCGCAAGAUUGGAACUCAAAGGAAUUGACGGGGGUCUACACAAGUGGUGGAGCAUGUGGUUUAAUGCGAUAAUACGCGCGAAAUCUUACCAGUCCUUGAAUGAAAUAAAAUCAAUAUAGUUAUUAUAUUGUUAAUACGAAAAUUAAGUUAUUUUUAUAUUAUUAUUGCACAGGUGUUGCAUGGCUGUCGUCAGCUCGUGCCGUGAGGUGUUUGGUUAACUCCAUUUACGGGCGAAACUCUUCGGGUAUUUUGGUAAUCUUUAAUCUUUUUUGGUUAAUAGAUCCACUUAUGCACGACCGCUGGUGUUUUGAUACUAGAGGAAGAUGAGAAUCACGUCAAGCCCUUAUGGCCCUUAUGGACUGGGCCACACACGUGCUACAAUGAAUGAAUACAAAAAGUUAUACAAUAAAGCAAUUUGGAGUAAAUCUUUAAAAUCUUUCGUGUUCGGAUUAUAGACUGCAAUUCGUCUAUAUAAAGGUGGAAUCACAAGUAAUCGUAAAUCAGCACGUUACGGUGAAAAUGUACCUAGACUUUGCACACACCGCCCGUCACAUGCCGGAAGUGAGUUUUGUUUGAAAUUAGUAAACUCUUUUUUAGUAUUAUGUAUUAUAUAUCUUUUAGUUAAUAAAAGUAUUACAUGAAUAUUAUUCUUU